GUGUAGCUCAGUGAUAGAGCACAUGCUUAGCAUGCAUGGGACCUGGAUUCAAUACCCAGCAC
rnacentral:tRNA from 1 species